CAAAGUGUAGCUUAUCCCAAAGCACCUGGCCUACGCCCCAGAAGAUUCCAUGCAAAAUGGCCACUUUGA
rnacentral:tRNA from 1 species